CACACAGCUCCAUGUACAACACAGUGGGGUAUAGGUAAACACACAGCUCCAUGUACAAUAUAGUGGGGUAUAUGUAAACACACAGCUCCAUGUACAAUACAGUGGGGUAUAGGUAAACACACAGCUCCAUGUACAAUACAGUGGGGUAUAGGUAAACACACAGCUCCAUGUACAACACAGUAGGUAUAGGUAAACACACAGCUCCAUGUACAAUAGGGUGGGGUAUAGGUAAACACACAGCUCCAUGUACAAUACUGUGGGGUAUAUGUAAACACACAGCUCCAUGUGCAAUACAGUGGGGUAUAGGUAAACACACAGCUCCAUGUACAAUACAGUGGGGUAUAGGUAAACACACAGCUCCAUGUACAAUACAGUGGGGUAUAGGUAAACACACAGCUCCAUGUACAAUACAGUGGGGUAUAGGUAAACACACAGCUCCAUGUACAAUACAGUGGGGUAUAGGUAAACACACAGCUCCAUGUACAAUACAGUGGGGUAUAGGUAAACACACAGCUCCAUGUACAAUACAGUGGGGUAUAGGUAAACACACAGCUCCAUGUACAACACAGUUGGUAUAGGUAUAGACCCCAUAGGCCUAGAUAUAGCUCCAUGUACAACACAGUGUCUAUUGGUAUAGACCCCAUAGGACUAGAUAUAGCUCCAUGUACAACACAGUGUCUAUUGGUAUAGACCCCAUAGGCCUAGAUAUAUCUCCAUGUACAACACAGUGUCUAUUGGUAUAGACCCCAUAGGACUAGAUAUAGCUCCAUGUACAACACAGUGUCUAUUGGUAUAGACCCCAUAGGCCUAGAUAUAUCUCCAUGUACAACACAGUGUCUAUUGGUAUAGACCCCAUAGGCCUAGAUAUAUCUCCAUGUACAACACAGUGUCUAUUGGUAUAGACCCCAUAGGCCUAGAUAUAUCUCCAUGUACAACACAGUGUCUAUUGGUAUAGACCCCAUAGGCCUAGAUAUAUCUCCAUGUACAACACAGUGUCUAUUGGUAUAGACCCCAUAGGUCUAGAUAUAGCUCCAUGUACAACACAGUGUCUAUUGGUAUAGACCCCAUAGGUCUAGAUAUAUCUCCAUGUACAACACAGUGUCUAUUGGUAUAGACCCCAUAGGUCUAGAUAUAUCUCCAUGUACAACACAGUGUCUAUUGGUAUAGACCCCAUAGGUCUAGAUAUAGCUCCAUGUACAACACAGUGUCUAUUGGUAUAGACCCCAUAGGUCUAGAUAUAUCUCCAUGU